GACGAACGCUGGCGGCGUGCUUAACACAUGCAAGUCGAACGGAAAGGCCCCUUUGGGGGUACUCGAGUGGCGAACGGGUGAGUAACACGUGAGUAACCUGCCCUUGACUUCGGGAUAACUUCAGGAAACUGGGGCUAAUACCGGAUAGGAAUCCUUGCUGCAUGGUGGGGGCUGGAAAGCUUCGGCGGUUUUGGAUGGACUCGCGGCGUAUAAGCUUGUUGGUGGGGUCGUGGCUUACCCAGGCUUUGACGGGUAGCCGGCCUGAGCGGGCGACCGGCAACACUGGCACCGAAGCACGGCCCAGACACCUACCGGAGGCCGCAGUGGCGAAUAGUGCACCAUGGGCGGCAGCCGGAUGCAGAAACGCCGCGUGCCGGAGGACGGCCUUCUCGUGGUAAGCAGCUUUCAGCAGGGGCGAAGCUUGUGGUGUCGGUACCUGCAGCAGAAGCACCGGCUAACUACGUG
rnacentral:rRNA from 1 species